CUACGGAGGGUGCAAGCGUUAUUCGGAAUCACUGGGCGUAAAGGACGCGUAGGCGGGUUGGCAAGUCAGAUGUGAAAUCCUACAGCUUAACUGUAGAACUGCAUUUGAAACUGCUAACCUAGAGUAUGGGAGGGGGAGAUGGAAUUAGUGGUGUAGGGGUAAAAUCCGUAGAUAUCACUAGGAAUACCGAAAGCGAAGGCGAUCUCCUGGAACAUAACUGACGCUAAGGCGUGAAAGCGCGGGGAGCAAACAGGAUUAGAUACCCUAGUAGUCC
rnacentral:rRNA from 1 species